rnacentral:lncRNA from 1 species
UUAUGGUCUAUAUUCUUUAAAAUAUCUUUUUGACAACAAAUUUCAGUAAAUAUGAUGCCACACUAUAAUAAUCUAAAAACGUGUUUGGAAAAAUAAUGAAAAAACAGUUCAAUAUCUUCAGAAUGGGGCGACAGAGGACGAUCGACCUCGAAAUUUUCCGGUACUAAGUGGCAAGUUUUGGAGUAUUACACAAAAUCUUGUAUUAAUUUUGUACUUAUCGGCUUAAUAAUUUAAAGAAUUAUAUAUCAGAAAAUCAAUUCUUAAGCGGCAUCCUCAUCAAAUGAGUAGAAAUGCUUUAAAUUGGAUGAAUUCUUAACUUGUUUACUUUUUUUUCUAUUUCUCUCCGCUUCGUUAGUACCCAAUUUCCGGUGGCGAUGAUACACAGUGAGUC